CCAGUGAGUUCCUAACACAAAACACUGACUGCAGUGGGCCUCUGACCGAAGCAGCCAGUCAUUUUACAGUAUGAGCCUAUCCCUAACCGUGCUGAUGAUGACCUCUGUGUUGUUGGUGCUGUCAUUAGGACUUUUUGACUUUACAGUUGGAAGUCAUCUGCGAAGGGUUUCGUUUUUCAGUGAUGAAGAUGAAG